UACGUAGGCAGCAAGCGUUGUUCGGAGUUACUGGGCGUAAAGGGUGCGUAGGCGGUUGCUUAAGUUUGGUGUGAAAUCUCCCGGCUCAACUGGGAGGGUGCGCCGAAUACUGAGUGACUAGAGUGCGGGAGAGGAAAGUGGAAUUCCUAGUGUAGCGGUGAAAUGCGUAGAUAUCAGGAGGAACACCGGUGGUGUAGACGGCUUUCUGGACCGUAACUGACGCUGAGACACGAAAGCGUGGGUAGCAAACAGG
rnacentral:rRNA from 1 species